rnacentral:rRNA from 1 species
AUUGAACGCUGGCGGCAUGCUUUACACAUGCAAGUCGAACGGCAGCACGGGGGCAACCCUGGUGGCGAGUGGCGAACGGGUGAGUAACACAUCGGAACGUGUCCAGUUGUGGGGGAUAACCCAUCGAAAGGUGGGCUAAUACCGCAUGAGCUGGCGACAGGAAAGCAGGGGACCCGCAAGGGCCUUGUGCGAUUGGAGCGGCCGAUGUCCGAUUAGCUAGUUGGUGGGGAAAGCCUACCAAGGCUUCGAUCGGUAGCUGGUCUGAGAGGAUGAUCAGCCACACUGGGACUGAGACACGGCCCAGACUCCUACGGGAGGCAGCAGUGGGGAAUUUGGACAAUGGGGGCAACCCUGAUCCAGCCAUGCCGCGUGAGUGAAGAAGGCCU